rnacentral:misc_RNA from 1 species
AAAUGCGAUAAGUAAUGUGAAUUGCAGAAUUCAGUGAAUCAUCGAAUCUUUGAACGCACCUUGCGCUCCUUGGUAUUCCUUGGAGCAUGCCUGUUUGAGUAUCAUGAAAUCUUCAAAGUAAAUCUUUUGUUAACUCAAUUGGUUUCUACUUUGGUAUUGGAGGUCUUUGCAGCUUCACACCUGCUCCUCUUUGUUCAUUAGCUGGAUCUCAGUGUUAUGCUUGGUUCCACUCGGCGUGAUAAGUUAUCUAUCGCUGAGGACACAGUAAAAGGUGGCCAAGGUAAAUGCAGAUGAACCGCUUCUAAUAGUCCAUUGACUUGGACAAUACUUUUAUGAUCUGAUCUCAAAUCAGGUAGGACUACCCGCUGAACUUAAGC